rnacentral:rRNA from 1 species
GAGGGAUCAUUAACGAAGCAUUAGAGAGGUUGUAGCUGCCUUGAAAGAGGAUGUGCACGCCUUUCAAAUCUUCCCUUACCACCUGUGAACUCUUCUUAGACUGUGAUAACCUUCACUGAAAAUGUGGAUAGAGGAUUUGCAAGUUUUGCUUAUCUUCGAUUUCACAGUCUAUGUUUACAUACACUACGAAAUAUAAGAAUGUUGUUUUACUUGCUGUAAUGGCUUGUAAUAAUUAAAUACAACUUUCAGCAACGGAUCUCUUGGCUCUCGCAUCGAUGAAGAACGCAGCGAAAUGCGAUAAGUAAUGUGAAUUGCAGAAUUCAGUGAAUCAUCGAAUCUUUGAACGCACAUUGCGCCCAUUAGUAUUCUAGUGGGCAUGCCUGUUCGAGCGUCAUUUCAACCCUUAAGCUUAGCUUAGUAUUGGGAAUCUGCUUAAACCGCAGUUCCUUAAAUCUAGUUGGCAGAGCACAUCUGUACUCUGAGCGUAGUAAUUCAUUAUCUCGCUUUCUGAAGACAGUUGUACGAUCGCCAUAAACCUAUUUAUUUUUUAAUGGUUGACCUCGGAUCAGGUAGGAAUACCCGCUGAACUUAAGCAUAUCAAUAAGCGGAGGAAAAGAAACCAACAGGGAUUGCCCUAGUAACGGCGAGUGAAGCGGCAACAGCUCAAAUUUGAAAUCUGGCCUUCUGGUCCGAAUUGUAAUUUGUAGAGGAUGUUUUUGGUUAGGUACCUUCCGAGUUCCUUGGAACAGGACGCCUUAGAGGGUGAGAGCCCCGUACGGUUGGAUGCCGAGCCUUUGUAAAACUCCUUCGACGAGUCGAGUAGUUUGGGAAUGCUGCUCUAAAUGGGAGGUAAAUUUCUUCUAAAGCUAAAUACCGGCCAGAGACCGAUAGCGCACAAGUAGAGUGAUCGAAAGAUGAAAAGAACUUUGGAAAGAGAGUUAAACAGUACGUGAAAUUGCUGAAAGGGAAACGCUUGAAGUCAGUCGCGACGUUCAGGACUCAGCCAUGCUUUUGUGUGGUGUAUUUCCUGUUCGUUGGGUCAACAUCAAUUUUGACCGGUGGACAAGGGUUCAGGGAAUGUGGCUCUCUCGGGAGGUGUUAUAGCCUUGGAUCGUAUACAUCGGUUGGGAUUGAGGAAUCUCAGCACGCCGCAAGGCGCGGGUACUUGUACCACGU